UCUUAUUUAGGUAUAUCUGCCUCUUCAAGGAUAGGUCAAUUUCACUGAUUAAAAGUAAGAGACAGUUAAACCCUCGUGUGGCCAUUCAUACAAGUCCCUGUUUAGAGAAAAAGUGAUUAUGCUACCUUUGCACGGUCAGGGUACUGCAGCCGUUAAACAUGUGUCACUGGGCAGGCAGUGCCUCUAAUACUGAUAAUGCUAGAGGUGAUGUUUUUGGUAAACAGGCAGGGGUAGAGUUUGCCGAGUUCCUUUUACUUUUUAAAAUCUUUCCUGGAUGCAUGCCUGUGUUGGGUUAACAGUUUAGUUAAUGGAUAAAUUAAGCUGUAGUAUGUAAUGAUUGGGCUGCUAACUAACAGUAGUUGUUUCGGUCUGAGAUAAGCUUAUGCAGGGAGAAUAAGUUCAUGUUACUUAUACUAACAUUAUUGCUUCUAUUAAGUAAUAGAUUAGUCCAAUGUGUUUUAGGAGUUCAGUGGAAUGAAUAGAAUUAAGAGUAAUUAAUAAUGAGCUUAAAUGCUUUCUUAAUUGAUGGCUGCUUUUAGGCCAACUAUGGUCGUGGAAUAUUUUACUCUCUAUAAAAGGUUAUUUCCUAGGGUCUAAAGAGCUACAUUUACAGGGGAAUUG